GGGUCGGUAGCUCAGUUGGUAGAGCAGAGGCCUUUUAAGCCUUUGGUCGCGGGUUCAAGUCCCGCCCGACCCACCA
rnacentral:tRNA from 1 species